UCUCCAGCCCUGAUAGGAAGAUGACUCUCCUUCUGGGCGUUAGCCUUUUGCUUUUCUACCGAGGCGUGCUGUGUGACCAAGUGACCCAGAGCCCCCUGUACCAGACAGUGGCAAGCGGCAGUAAGGUGACACUGUUCUGCACUUACCACACAACAUACUCAAACCCGGAUUUAUACUGGUACCGAAUAAGGCCAGAUCGUUCCUUUCAGUUUAUCCUCUACAGGGAUAACACUCGAUCCAAAGAUGCAGAUUUUACUCAGGGUCGUUUUUGGGUGUGGCACAGUCAGUCCCAGAAAACCUUCCACUUGGUGAUCUCGGUGGAGCCUGAAGACAGUGCCACAUACUACUGCGCCAUCUAUCCCCACAGUGUCGCAGGUGCCCAGGAGGUCUGAACAUAAACCCCCAGCACAGCCUGGUUGUAGCUCCCUGGGAUCCUUCUUCCCGGCUAUUUUGUGUUCCAGCCUGGCCUUUGGAGGUGCCCUGACAUUCUGCUGAAUAAUACAAGGGUAGCUCACAUCCAGGAGAGCACCCUGGCUUCAGAUGGAGCAGAGCACCUCCCUACCUUCUGACUCAGUGGGCCGUUGCGGUGGGAGAGUGGGAGAGGUAUGUCUGGGGAAUUCUCAUCUUCGUGUCCCCAGUGCCCAGGUCACUCAUGCCUGAUACGGGGGCCUGUCGCGUAUGUACUCUGAGGAUUGUGAAGAUACCAGAAUGGCCAAGGUACCAUUCAGGAGUGUUUUUAUUUUAGUCUCCAUCAUUUAUCCAUUAUUGUGAAUUGGUCUGUUUUCCUUUUAAGAUUCAAAGUAGACACAAAGUUACUUACUUCAAAAUGUUCCCCCCAGUUCACCUUUUCCCUGCUUCUUCUUGCACAGCCACCUUAUUUUUCUUGAAUGCUCUUUGACACUGCCAUUUCACUUACUUUAUUUGGAGAACAUUUUUCUUCCACGGAGGAGCAUUGAGAUACUCCGAAAAAGCUGUUGGUGAUCCCUAGAACCCCAGCAUCAAGUCCCUGCGUUUGGAGCUCUUUGGUGUCUCCAAGGAAGAUGAUCAUCUCCAGGAGAAUCCAACUGUGUGAUGUCAAAAUAGAUACACCCUGAGCCCUGGGAACUGGUCCCUCUUUCCUUUUUUUUUUUUUUUUUUUUUUUCCGUUGAAUUCUUUGCCUUAAAACAACUAUUCAUUAUGAGAUACAACCUUGAAGAGAGUAGAAGCCCAGGCUAUGAUUUUAUAGGGAAAACACUAGAGCGCAGAGAAGGGAGAGACCUUCAUUCCCAAGGUCAGAGAGCUGGGUAAUAAUAGAGCUCACGUGUGCUGCUGCACUUUUAGGGCUCUCCCUGGCAGCUUCAUCAGUAGGUGCUCUGGCAGCAGUUUAUCUGGGCUUCAAAACAGGUGGGUGAAGAGCAGUCACUAGAGAGAGGAAUGUACAGAACACGGGUGAGGGAGCCAAAGGCUUUGGGCAAAUGUCUCCGCCUCCUGGGUCUCUGUGCUGCCCAUGACUGAGUGUGUGUAGCAAUCUUCUGGAGGACUCCCUCAGGGCUGUUUUGGACUUAAAUGAAGUGCUGUAUGCAAAAGCUCCAGAGAACUAUAAUCCACAAUAUGAUGCCCCCCCCCCCCCCCCCCGAAAACAGCCACAAUCCCCACCUGGCUCUUGCCAUUAAUGUUUUUCUGGAGGCUCCUUUUGGUAGGAGAAAUUCAAGAUCCUGUGAUAAGCUAGGAUUUUUUUUUUUUUUUUGACCACCAAAGUAGAUCAGAGGGUGGCUCAUUUAUAUGCUAACUAUUGGACAAUCCUGAAGUCCAGUCUAGCUGAAAUCAAAUCACCACCUUGUCCUUGUUUUGGGGAUGCUGUUUGUUCUAGAAGGAACUUGGGGCUGGUGCUCUUGGUAACAUGGUUCUGCUCACAGCCACGUCCUGCCUCACUGAAUGACUUUGAAGAAGGUACAUUACCUUUUUGGAAGGGGUAUUUUUUCCAUCUGAAAAAUGAGGAUGUGAUCUUUUUGUUCUUUGCCACUUAUAGAAACAUGCUAAUGUUACCUAAGGUAACAGAUGUGAAUGUUUUGGAAAUAGGCAUUUUUUCUUUACCCACACGAGGUGCAGUUGUGUGGAAUCUUCUAAUGGUUCUUCCCUGGAUGGACCUUCUUAUCCAUGUAGAUUGUCCUAAACCCAUUGACUCAGAGGGCUACUGCCUCCUUUCUUUGCUUUGGGCUGUGAAGACAACAUGGGAGUCUGCAGAUGGCAAUAUCAGGGGGAGUUGGUGAGGGUUGCUCUUUCACUUGUGACCCCAUAAGCCCCCGCUUGACACCCUAGGUAGCACCCUAGGUGCCCAGGAAACCACAAUAGUGGGUUGCAAGGGCUCUGCUACCUGAGUGGGUGCACCUGGGAAAAUGCUGUGGCCUUGCUGACGUGGGGGUAGCAGAGCCCAUCGGCCACAGAGGGGUCAUUGCUGCUGUUUUGCUGUAGCAGCAGCAGCAACAGCCGGAAACCCAGGGCAGGGUCCCUGAGGCAGGAGCCUGCAGGCUUGGGGCUCAGGAAGCUGCGGUGUGACCUACAAGUUCAGUUUGGCUUUUGUCUGCCUAACAGCGAGUUCACAGCACCCACUCUCCCCCUCCCGCGGUGGUCUGUUAUGAGUAAAGCCAGAGGCAAGGCACAUUCGAUGCACUUUAAUAAAUGCAACAGAGACAACACUGAGAAUGGCAGAAAACCAUCAACAACAAGGGGCAGGCAAGAGUCAGCAUCCACUGAAAUCAAAUUCCCUGUGCAUAUGUUGGCAGGCAAAACCCAGUAAAGAUACUCUUUUUACAGCCCAAAUCUAGGAGUCUCAUUCCUCUCCCUCCCUCCAAAAGUGCUUGCACAGUAAGUCGCUUGAAAGCAGGCCCACCUCUCGUUCAUCUUUACACCCUCAGCUCGGUGCCUGGAACUUAGAAGGAGUCAAUUCAUGUUUGUGAAGUCAAUUGAUAAAAGUAAUUUUCUCUGUAUUUUACCCUGAUCUUUGCUAAUAGCUUGGAGAGUAUUUAGAUGAGGCUUUAGAAACCCCAUUGGCUGCAUGAGAAGUCAAAUGUAAUUUUGUUUGUAAAGUACUAAGGAAAGCAGAAAGUGCUUUUGUGGAUGAGAAUGCCAGCUUGAGGCAAACCUAGUGCUGGGCUGAACAGAGCCAUUCCUGUUAGGUGAAGGGCAUCUUCUCUCCAACCCCCAGGGUCUGUUUUCCUCGGGGAGUAUGGAGCUGGGAAUCUGUUGGCUCCCACUUUCUACUUUUGAAGGCAAAGAAAGUUAAGGGAACAAAACACUAUUUUCAAAGUGUAUCUGUUGUAGAAAUAAUAAUAAAAAAAAUGAGUCCUAUAUCCCUUUAUAAAGCAGCAGAUAGAGCAGUUAGGACCAUAACGCCCUACUCCCUAGGACUUGUGUCUUUCCACAAAGCUGGAAAAUGAGCUGGGUUUGUUGCUUUGAUGGUUUGGGUAGCAGCCACUUAAGCAAGACUGGGAUCGGUCACCUUGAAUCACCGAGAAGCCAGAAGUCUAGGAGACAGCUCCUCUGUAGGCUUUUGUGAAGACAUAAUGUGGGAGUUUCAUAAGGCAGCCUUCUGAAGCCAGUCAGCCU